rnacentral:rRNA from 1 species
AAGUCGAACGAACCUUCGGGUUAGUGGCAGACGGGUGAGUAACGCAUAGGUAACCUUCCCUUAAGUCUGGGAUAACUAUUCGAAAGGAUAGCUAAUACCGGAUAUUCAGGCUUUCCUGAUUGGUUAGCUUGGAAAGAAUUUCGCUUAAGGAUGGGCCUAUGUCUGAUUAGCUUGUUGGUGGGGUAAUGGCCUACCAAGGCGACGAUCAGUAGCUGGUCUGAGAGGAUGGUCAGCCACACUGGGACUGAGACACGGCCCAGACUCCUACGGGAGGCAGCAGUGGGGAAUAUUGCGCAAUGGGCGAAAGCCUGACGCAGCGACGCCGCGUGAGCGAUGAAGCCUUUCGGGGUGUAAAGCUCUGUCGAGAGGGAUGAUAAUGACAGUACCUCUAGAGGAAGCCACGGCUAAUUACGUGCCAGCAGCCGCGGUAAUACGUAAGUGGCGAGCGUUAUCCGGAAUUACUGGGCAUAAAGAGCACGUAGGCGGUAAUUUAAGUCAGAUGUUAAAUCCCACAGCCUAACUGUGGUCCGCAUUUGAUACUGAAUUACUAGAGAUCAGGAGAGGGAAGCGGAACUCACGGUGUAGCGGUGAAAUGCGUAGAUA